UACAGAGGUCCCAAGCGUUGUUCGGAUUCAUUGGGCGUAAAGGGUGCGUAGGCGGCGCGGUAAGUCGGGUGUGAAAUCUCGGAGCUUAACUCCGAAACUGCAUUCGAUACUGCCGGGCUUGAGGACUGGAGAGGAGACUGGAAUUCCUGGUGUAGCGGUGAAAUGCGUAGAUAUCUGGAGGAACACCGGUGGCGAAGGCGGCGACCUGGUCCGAUACUGACGCUGAGGCGCGAAAGCGUGGGGGAGCAAACGG
rnacentral:rRNA from 1 species